GUGCCAGCAGCCGCGGUAAUUCCAGUCUCCAAUAGCGUAUAUUUAAGUUGUUGCAGUUAAAAAGCUCGUAGUUGAACCUUGGGCCUGGCUGGCCGGUCCGCCUCACCGCGUGCACUGGUCCGGCCGGGCCUUUCCCUCUGUGGAACCCCAUACCCUUCACUGGGCGUGGCGGGGAAACAGGACAUUUACUUUGAAAAAAUUAGAGUGCUCCAGGCAGGCCUAUGCUCGAAUACAUUAGCAUGGAAUAAUAAAGUAGGACGCGCGGUUCUAUUUUGUUGGUUUAUAGGACCGCCGUAAUGAUUAAUAGGGACAGUCGGGGGCAUCAGUAUUCAACUGUCAGAGGUGAAAUUCUUGGAUCAGUUGAAGACUAACUACUGCGAAAGCAUUUGCCAAGGAUGUUUUCAUUAAUCAGGAACGAAAGUUAGGGGAUCGAAGACGAUCAGAUACCGUCGUAGUCUUAACCAUAAACUAUGCCGACUAGGGAUCGGACGGUGUUAUUCAUGACCCGUUCGGCACCUUACGAGAAAUCAAAGUGCUUGGGCUCCAGGGGGAGUAUGGUCGCAAGGCUGAAACUUAAAGAAAUUGACGGAAGGGCACCACCAGGGGUGGAGCCUGCGGCUUAAUUUGACUCAACACGGGGAAACUCACCAGGUCCAGACACAAUAAGGAUUGACAGAUUGAGAGCUCUUUCUUGAUUUUGUGGGUGGUGUGCAUGGCCGUUCUUAGUUGUGGGGUGACUUGUCUGCUUAAUUGCGAUAACGAACGAGACCUUAACCUGCUAAAUAGCCCGCAUUGCUCCGGCAGUGCGCUGGCUUCUUAGAG
rnacentral:rRNA from 1 species